GCUUACUUUGGCAGACAUGUCCUAAAACUGGAACAGCACAGAGGAGAUUAGCAUGACUCUUGCACAAGGAUAACAUGUUAAAAAUGUUUCAUAUUAAA
ensembl:snRNA U6 U6 spliceosomal RNA